rfam:Medicago truncatula strain A17 chromosome 4, whole genome shotgun sequence.
GCGUUCCGCAAUAUGACGGAGUGUAAAUGCCUAAGUAUCAGACUUACCAUAGCUUGAUACAUAGGCAUUUACACUCCGUCAUAUUGUAGAACGCA